ensembl:lncRNA
CAAGACUCAUUAGAGAGAGACUAUAGCGUAGUCAGAGGCCCUGAAAAGAAUGGAAGAGUCAGGACUUUCACUAAAUGAUAUCUCCCAUCUGGCUCUGCAGUUCCCCUUCGUACUGUCUGAUAGAUACACAUCGACAAGAGAUAAGAUUACAAGGGAUAUACACAAUGUUCUCCUCCACAGUGUGCCUGCCUCUGUGGUCACACAUCUCACAAUGAAGUGCUAACAUUUGAAUCCUCUUUGUUUUAAAGUUAAACGAGGAGGAAGUCUUCUCGUUGUAUCAGCACAGUUUGCCCGGGACAACAUACCGCCAAAUGAAACACCCUCCGUGACGAGCAGUGGUGGAUUUUGAAAUGCUACGGGAAAAUCAGCAGGCCCUGCUGAAUCAUAUUCGCUGAGGUUCCUGUGUCUGGCGAUGACAGGUUCCUGUGGGCGUAAAGAGGAUAGGGCGGAACCAACAUGGCCAAGCAGUAACCUCAGAUCACUGAAAUGGAAUUCCAAAUGGCAACCUAUUUCCUGUGGUCGUGUUCGCUGGUGUGCUGCGUGUCGGCGCGAGGGGCCAUCACUGGGCCAGCUCCCCAUCAGCCCUGUCUAUCUGAUGUGUGUUAUCUGAGCCGGACAGAUCCUGCAGCCGGACCAGACUCUGUGACGGAGCAGGACCGGCCAUUACUGUCAUAAAACACUGAGACAGCCCAUUAUCAACACUUUGAUCCACUCGGCCUCGGAAAUACACACAGGCCUUCAAGUGACAGACACCUGGACAGAGGUGGAGCAAUGACACGGUUCGAGGCUGUGUCCCAAGGUGCCACGCUUUUCCCAAAACAGUGCACUACUUUAGACCCCCGGGCCCCUAUCAAGAGCAGCGCACUGAGUAGGUUUGCAUUUGGGACGUACUCAAAAGGUCUGUAUCUACUGUGCUCUGAUACAUGCUUCACUUCCACGGUCGCCCCAUCAAUCCAAAAUGUGAUGCACUGAUGGGGGCAGAUUGGGGCAUGAAUUUGUCUCGGGGUGCAGGGAGGAGAUUGUGUGCGUUUACCCUAUUAGAAGUUCAUAAUGAGAGAUAGGGCUGGUUGGGUAGGGAUCCACCAUACAGAGGAGCUAUCCAUGUCCUGUCGUCUCUCACGUAAUGGUUUCUGUUACACACACAAACACACACGCACACCUCCGACAGCCCACGCGCACACACAUAUGCAAAUGCUCGCGCGCGCACGCGCACACUUCACAGAUCUACUUAACUGACCUUUCCAGCUAUUUUUCCUCCGCUCACAGAGGGACGCAUGUGGUUGGAAAAAUCACGUCUCAGAGCCUCCCGCCGCAACUCAUCUUCCAUAAACGGAAAAGGCAAAGUUAUACCUGGAAGAUAAAUGACUUUUGACACAAUCUCACUAAUAAUUCAUAUCUUAAACCACAAUGUCAUAUUAUAAAUGUAACAGUUGCACUGUGCGCAGAGACCUAGCAUCUUGAUAUGGCUCGUAUUUAGCAUGGUAAUAACAGCAGAGCUGUUGUUUUUUUUUUUCUUCCGUAAAACAAAUAGCAAUAAAAGUGCUCUCAGGACCACCUUCAUUAAAAUAAUCAUUAAACUGUCCAUCAACAAAAUGGAUUUCUACACCAUGAUACCCAAGGGAGACAGCCUGCCUCGCUCCGGAACAAACAAACAAACAAACACAUAAACAACCCAGCAUCUUUGGAUGAAAUUUUAGGGCCAGUAACAUGUCAUGCAAUAUAUCACACUAAGUAGCUGUAGCUUACAGACAGCCUCGGGGGUUUAGGUGUAGCUGCUGGAAAGAAAAAGGAAAUAUUUAAGUUGGAAGUUCAGUGGAUACAGCAGUCAUUGUAUAUGAAAAUGUGAUGGAAUCACAAAAAUAUGGUCAGCAUGCACAGUACCA